CGGUUGAUCCUGCCGGAGGGGACCCCUAGCGGGCUCGCACUAAGCCAUGCAAGUCGGCUGGGGGCCAAUCCUGCCCCUGGCGGCGCACGGCUCAGUAAUACACGGUCAACCUACCCUGGGGACCGGGAUAACCUCGGGAAACUGAGGCUAAUCCCGGAUAGGAGCAGGGUACUGGAAUGUCCCUGCUCCGAAAGUAGGCGGGGGGUAGCCCCGCUGAGGCCCCAGGAUGGGACCGUGGCCUAUCAGGUAGUAGGUGGGGUAACGGCCCACCUAGCCUAAGACGGGUGCGGGCGGUGGGAGCCGGAGCCCGGAGAUGGGCACUGAGACAAGGGCCCAGGCCCUAAGGGGCGCAGCAGGCGGGAAACUUCCGCAAUGCGCGAAAGCGUGACGGAGUGAGCCCGCGUGCCGCCCGCUGAGGGCGGCUGUCCCCGGGUGUAAACAGCCCGGGACAGGAAGGGGAGGGCAAGGCUGGUGCCAGCCGCCGCGGUAAAACCAGCUCCUCGAGGGGUCCCCACGCAUACUGGGCCUAAAGCGUCCGUAGCCGGCCCCGCAAGUCCUCGGUUAAAUCCACCGGAAGACCGGUGGGCUGCCGGGGAUACUGCGGGGCUAGGGAGCGGGAGGGGCCGGGGGUAUUCCGGGGGGAGCGGUAAAAU
rnacentral:rRNA from 1 species